rnacentral:lncRNA from 1 species
UAGUGAGCUAGAGCUAUUUUUGUGCGAUGGGAUAAGAAAAGGGAGCAGAUCAGAUUUUUUGAUUUGCUGGAGGCUAUUAUUUUUCCAUAAAAAGAGCGUUCAGCAGCUUAAAAGGGGGCGGUCAAAAAUAGAAAAAGAAGAAGAUUAGAGGGGCGGGGCACUCGAGGAAGAAAAAAAAAGUUCUCUAACUGAACCAGCAAGUGCCGAUCAACCAGCUGGAAUAGCAGUCAAAAUUUCAGCUAGCUGAGAGGAGGGAAGCUCGACAAUUUGAGAAGUUUUCUUUUCCAAGAUUCAGUUCGUAAUUCAUGUUAUUUACAAUUGAUUCUUGUUUUGUUUUACUCGCUAUGAGUAGCUAAAUUACUUAAUCUUAGUUAGACACUUAUGAAACCGAGCACAGGGGAUUUGACGAUUUAUUUUGUUUUAAAUUCAAAUUCAGUAUUCUUGAAUUGUUUGUUUUAUCGCUCAAGGAAUUUUUCUAAAUCAAUUGGAUUGAUCACGUAUUUAAUUUAGGAAUUUUCUUAUAAUCAUCUAAGUGCAAAUUCAGUAAUCGAAUUUCUUAAUUAAACUUAGAAUAGGUGAUGACUAAUUGGCUUGCAGCUAAUUAAAACAACUACGGAUUUAAUUUUAGAAGCCGCUGGAGGAUUUUCUUUGGUUAAUGCUAGGUGAAGUCUCUAAAAUACUAAAUGCACCUUUAAUUAGUCAACAAAGAGAUAAUUAAAGGUAGGUUUUCAUUUACGAAUGUUCUCUAAUUGAAUAAAAAUUUACUGGGGAUAGGAAGUCGCUUCGUAAGUGAUUUUUUUUAGCCUUGCUGCCGAAUUAGUCUACUAGGAUAAUUUAAGGUCGCAAAGGACUUGUGCUUGGCGGAUUAAGGAGUCAAUAACUAAGCAUCUUUCUCUUUAUUUUGGUAAUUUUUCAGCAUUCAUAAUUAAAGAUAAAACUUGUUCGUUACUUUAGGUUAUUUUUAGCAAACGUAGAAGCAUAGACCCCCCCAUUUUUCUUUCUUGCAUGCGUUUUACAUCACUUUAAUUUCAACUCUCUUCAAAUAGAUUUAACGCGAGCUUCUUCGUGGGACGAUUCCCUAUUUACUUUAUAUUACCAGUUACUACUGGUUGAAUAGCAGAUAAAAUUCUGUAGUCAUAACGACAGUUACCAACAUCCGAGUCCGAAAAAUAUUUUAAUGUGUUUAUUAUGUGUGAAUUUAUAUGUGUGAAAGUUUCGUGAAUUAAUUUUAUUAUUUGAGUGCUUAAUUUGAGAAUAGGGCUUAAUCGCGUAAAAUAAAAAAAUUAGUCAUUAAUUAUGAAAGAGCCUAAUUGUUGUUGUCUUUGUAUGUUGGAGGUUCUAUGAUGCAAUUAGUCCACUAUAUAAGUUAGUGGAUGGUAAUGGUCAAGAAUGACCUUAUAUUAUAUGUUAUAUAUAUAUUAGUAAAGGUUAAAUUAGUAAAAUAAUAAUAAGUUAGUAUAAUGAUAACUAAAUAAAACAAAAGCAUGUAAAUGGCCAUUAUCAUCUUUAUUCUUGCCGAAAAUACAAAGAAAAAGAAAAGAGAAAAAGGGUUCUAGAGUUCGGCACAUGCAUUGGCUAAUUAGGUAUGUGUUUUUGAUUUAUUUUAGAUAAUUUUAAUAGUUUUCUGAUUGUUGCUUAGCACUCUAUCUAGCCCAUGCCUUAUUUUGAAAUUUGAUGAUGAUUUUGAGUUAUGCUAUUGAUGCUUUUGUAAGUUUUGUGAUGAUAAUUGAUGAAAAAUAAAAGAUAUUUGUUAGAUUGACAUGUUUUGUUUUUGAAUUUUUGGUGAAAUUGAGUAAUUAGGGUUAAAUUGUGAAAAUAAAUUUGAGAGACUAAAAUGCUAAAUAAAUGAAAAAUAUGGACUUGUAUGGACACUAGGAAAAUUCGGCACUUAAGGAGUGUAGUCAAAUUUUGUGUAUUUUGUGUUUUAAGGAAAAAUGAUUAAAUUGUAAAAAGUGUGAAAUGUUAGGGGUAAAAUUGUAAUUUUCCCAUUCAUGUGUUUUUAGGCUAAAUUAAAUAGAAUGGUGUUUAAAUAAGCUUAAUUUGAAUAUGUUUAGAUCAAGAAUUAAAGAAAUCGAAUUUGGAUCGGGGAAUGACAAAAGUGGUUAAGUAGCGAUUUAGCAGUCGAUAACAUCCGAGGUAAGUCCGUAAGCAUUUAAAUGUUGAUAUAAUCAUAAAAAUGUAAUUUUUAUUUACCGAAUUGAAUUUUUGGGAAUAAUUUGGGCUAUGGCCGAAUAUGGUAUUAUGAUGUGGCUACUUUUCGAGUUUGAUUCGAACGAGAUAUGACGUCCGUAAGCCCCGUAUGAACCUUAGGAAUAAUUAGGAUACAUAAUUCAUGACAUAGGAUUUCUGAGAUGUGUUAUCGUGUAAGACCACGUCUGGGACGUUGGCAUCGACUUGUGUUUACGUGUAAGACCUUGUCUGGGACAGUAGCAUCGAUACGUGAUUACAUGUAAGACCACGUCUGGGACGUUGGCAUUGUAAGAGUUUCCGACUAUCCGCAUGUCCUUUUUAAUUCCUAAUGGUUCAACGGGCAAUAUGAAAUAAAGUCCGUUCAUGGAAAGGUAUAAAAGUUUCAGGUAUGAAUUAGCCAUUUAAUUACAAGGGAAUAAGAUGAGUUAGUUAAUUGAAUUGGUAAAAGUUAUCAAUUUGAUUAUGUAUUAUAAGCUAACCAUUUGUAUAUUGGAAUGUUUUGGGCUGUUGAUAUAUGAUAUAAAAUAUCUAUGUUUUGAGUACAGGUAUUUGGCUUGUGCAAGAUUUAUAUAUAAAAAAAUGGUGAUCAUUUUUUAGAUGUUAAAUGAUGCUACGUAAUUGAUAUUCGAUUAUAUUUACUUAAUGUUUUUGAGCAAAUAUUUAUACGUAAGAUUUUGCUUAUGACUUACUAAGCUCAAGAAGCUUACUUUGUGUGUGUAUUUGCUUGUGUCUGUUUUAUAGAUUUUGGAGUCGCGUUACGAGCUCAGGGAUUGUCAGCAGAGUCUAUCACACUAUCGAUAUCUUUUGGGUACUUUGAUAAAUUUUUAAACUCGAUAUUAUGGCAUGUAUAGGCUUGCUUAUGUUUUUGGUUAGUUUUCGAAUAUGUAUAUAAAUGGUCAUGCGAAAAUGGCUCAUCUUAUUUUGAUCGAGUUUGGUGUUUAUGCAUAUGUUUUUAAUGGUCAUGGAAAUGGGGUUUAUAAUUUUGCAUAUUGAAUUAUGGUAUAAGUUUGUGAUAUGAUAAUAAAUGUGAUAUAUAUAUAGUUUGGAAAUGUUAAAUUUGGUUAAGUGAUUAGUAUAUGUAUAAUAGUUAUGCAUUGGAUGAUG